UAUCUCCCAUUCGCAAACUUUAGAUCAAACUCCUCACGGCAGUUACUUCCCUUGGGCAUCUUCUAGAAUAAGGGAGGCCACUGAGCCCUUUUCGGAAAGUCGCAUAUCUCCCCUGAGUAUUCUCCGGAAUUGGAGGUUCUCAAUCGCUGGCAUUCGGUACCCCUCGCAGAUUAUCAUAAUACUUAUCCGAUGUUUGACGGAAAGGGCCGAGAAUGUGCGAUUGAAUCGCUGGGUAGUAUUGAUUUCCAGUAACAAUGGCGUCGAAUGAGAAAGAAAACGAUCGUUAUCUGUCUGACAUCGAAAUUGACAAAUUAAGUGUUGCACAAUUGAAGGAUUAUUUACGAUUUCAUAAUCAUUAUGUGUCAGGGAAUAAGAAUGAACUUGUCUUGAGGACAAAAGGCGUACAAAAGCUAGGAUUAAAUGAUCGACAGCUGCACAGGAAUGCGGAAGUAAAUUAUGAAAAAAGGAAAACAGAAAAACUUUUUACGCCACUCGGUGAAAAGCUGCCACAUCCAGAUGUAUUAAAAACGUUGAGUAGUGACUUAAUGGACUUUCCUACAUUAAUAGAUAGUGACAUCUACAAUUAUUUUGUGCUGAAAAUGAACACACAAAAACAAUUGAGAUCAAAAAAUUGUAUUAUGUUUACAGACAUAAACACAGUAUUUUGUACCAUGACAUAAGUGACAAAUGGGAACAUUGUUUUGUUAAAUGCAAAGUAUUACCAUCACUACCGAGUGCAAAUGUGAAAGAAAACCCAGAUCACAGUGUGUGGCUCUGUCUGUCAAAGGUCACUGGACAGGUUCAUUCAGCGGAAUGUAAUUGCACAGCCGGGAGCGGAGAAGCAUGUAUCCAUAUUGGUGCAUUUAUGUAUGCCCUUUCUGAUCUCACUGCUAAAAAGAAGGACGGCACUCUAAGAUCAACCUCAAAAAAAUGCGUGUGGGACAGAUUUAAUAAUCCCCGGAAAAGAAAGCGAACGCCUAAAAAGUCUAGCGAAUUUACAUUUCGGAAACAUACCUUUGAGUCAAAAUUAGAGCCAGUCGAAAAUAACACCAGAAAAGAACUUCUUGCGAUUUCUGUAAAUGAGAACAGUUUCCGUUCAAAACUCGAAAAUAUGCAACCCAACAGCUGGAUGGCUUUUGAACUUUGUAGAAGAGAAGGAAGAGGUGAAAUUACCAAAGUUUAUAGAAAUUGGAUAUAACUUUAGUGAUAGCGUAGAUCUGAAUAGUGAAACUGUGAAGGAUAAAAUGUCGAAAAUGAUGGAUAUGCUACAAAUGGAUGAACUUGAAUGCCAAAGUAUUGAAAAAUUAACCAGAGGUCAGGGAAAGAACGUACUUUGGGAAGAUGAAAGAAAAUUACGUGUAACUGCAUCCAAUUUUGGUGAAGUAAUUUUACUGAAACAAGAGACUGAAAGAUUUAAAAGAAAUUGAGUGCAAUCUUUAAAGAAUAGUAACAAAUAUGAAUUUAAGAUCACAAUUGUGAAUUUCUCGCAAGCUUACCCUUGCUCCUAGAAUAUGUUUUUAUAAUUUUGAUGUCUCACUUUUCUCUAGAGAUUAACCCUUUACUUCUUAAAUAUGUAUUUUCAAGCUUUUGUAGUUCCUUAAAAAGUUAAAUGUAAUAAAGUACCUUUAUUACUAAAUUUAAGUUUUAAAGGCUUCAUUUCCAACCCUUAAAUACUGAUGAGCAGCAAACAGUAUAAAACCUGAACAGACUGCGAGUUACUAGCAUGCUGUUCUGGUUUUAUGCUGUUUUCACUGUGCUUCCAAGUGGAAUAGGGUUAAAUAACAAAAGUUAACGCCAGAUCAGAAAAUAAUUUAAGUAACAACAGUACAGGACAUCAUUGAGGUCCCUCCUUUUUUAUGUUUCAAUAGUCAUUUAGCUCUACAAAGCAUAUAAAUAUUGUACAUAAAAGUGUAUGAAUGUAUAAAUAUUUAUCAACUGUUCAUAUUAUGAAUUUUACAGUAGUACAUGUAGAAUGCUUUUCAACGAUUUGUGUACGGUUCAUUAAUACCAUCACAACGUGAUUGUCAAUUGUUAUUCCGCUAAAUUGAUUUGCUCUUAAAAUGAUAAAUCAUAAAAAGAACUUUUGCUAUGUUAUUAUCCAUCACUUAUUACCUUACCUGUGUUUGGAGAAAAACCGAAGGGUUUACGAUAAUAAUCUGUUUCAAAAUGUUAAAAUGAUAUGAAAUUAAUGAGUGGCAAGCAUGAACCAAAUUAAGAAAAUCAACACAGAGGUAUCAACAGCUGCAUCUUAUUAAAAAUCUGUGCACAAUGCUUUUUGUCCAAGUAUAGAUCAUUUCAGAACCCCAUUGAGUUAAUAGACACCUUGGAAGCUUUGCUGGUAUGACUUCUGCUUUACAUCUGACAAGUACUCUGCAGGUGUUGCUACUUGUAUCAGAAAUCUUGGUUUUAAACAAGAGCUGUCACCAUAGGAUGACUUAUGCCCCCUAUAUACGCUUGAUAGAAGUUAUGAGCAUUUUCCCAAACCUAAAUGCAUAUUUCGAAACCUAAACACGGACCCUAAGUUUAAGGUCAAGGUCACAGGGGUCAAAGUUUGUGUGCAUAUGGAAAGGCCUUGACCAUAUACACAUGCAUGCCAAAUAUGAAAAUGCUAUCUGAAGCGACAUAGAAGUUAUGAGCAUUUUUCGAAACCUAAACGCAAAGUGUGACGGACAGACCGACAGACAGUCCGAUCACUAUAGCGACAUAGAAGUUAUGAGCUUUUUUCGAAACCUAAAUGCAUAUUCGAAACCUAAACGCGGACCCUUAGUUUAAGGUCAAGGUCACAGGGGUCAAAAUUUGUGUGCGUAUGGAAAAGCUUUGUCCAUAUACACAUGCAUGCCAAAUAUGAAAUUGCUAUCCAAAGCGACAUAGCAGUUAUGAGGAUUUUUCGAAACCUAAACGCAAAGUGUGACGGACGGACAGACCGACAGACAGUCUGAUCACUAUAUGCCCUCCUUCGGGGGCAUAAAAAUUCUUGACGGGUUUAUUGCUCCCAAUUAUAAAUUAACUGUUGAUUAAGUCUUCAGUAGCAGUACUAAACCUUAAAGACAAACAUUUACUUAGGUAUACAAAAGAAAUCUGUGUUUUCAACGCUCUGUGUCAAUUAAUGUAUGUAAACUUGAAUCCAGUACAAUAUUUAUCAGAAUUUCAGUCUUAUAAUUUGUUUGGUCUUACAAAACUGCUUUCAAGCAAGAAAACAUGUAUAAAUAUAUUGGCACAAACACACAAACGCAGAAACACAAUUUUCUUUUUUUGCCUGAAAAUGUUUGUAUGGAAUAUGAGACAAGAAAAUAAUAAUCAGUAACAAUUUUAUUUUCACAAAUGAAAGCUGACUGUAAAAUGUGAAAUUAAGUAUUAUUCACAUAAUUACAUAGUAUAUUACUUAUACAUACAUGCAAUGGUCAAACACUUCUAGUUAAAUUGUAUACUGAAUUUCUCACAAAGUUCACUUGUUCAGCUUCUUAUCAAACUUAAUUUGUACUAGUUUUAAGGAGCCACUUUUCCAGUUUAUAUUAGCAUGACUAUUUUCAGUUUAUAAACACACUUUAUUUUCCGGGGACAGGUUUUUCGUGCUAACCCUGCUUUCAUUCCAACACUGACCUCAUCAAAUAAACACUCAAAAGUUCCAGCAGUUGGGAUACCAGUGUAGAACAACACCUUAUCGUCAUCAUCCCUUAUAUCCUCAAAGGUGAAGCUAGGCCGAUCCACUUGUAUCCCAACUGUCGACGUUUCAGUAGAAGUCUGGGUUGAUAUACUUCUGGGAACUCUCGUAUCGUCGGUUUGAGUAACCACAGAAAUCAGCUCCGGUUGCACUUGUUCACACUGAUGACGGAUUAUGGCGGGUACUGGUGUAAACCUUCCAUAGUCAUGGAGCUGAAAUAAAUAAAUACAUUUUUACAAGCAAAGUAAAUGCAGUUUGAAGUAAAGAUUAUAGGUCUUUCUGUAUUUUACUAAGGCAUCACCAAACUGAUAACUUCUUCAGUUUUUUUCUUUAAAAAUGGGAAGAGCAUGAAAAACAACUAUCUAUUUAUACUGCCAAGUGCCCUUUCGAGCAUGGUAGGCAGACAUGGACAUUAUCGAGUCGGUUUCCUGGGAAGAACCAGUACUUGGUGUCCAUGGAGGAGAUAAUUAGAAUGCUUCCCAAGUAAGGAGUGAACCCACUAACACCCGAUCGCUAGGCGGAUAUCUCAUCCACUACAACACCGCGACCUUGAACUACAAAUAUUUUUUUAUGUCCCCCACUAUAGAAGUGGGGGACAUAUUGUUUUUGCCCUGUCUGUUGGUUGGUCUGUUGGUUGGUUGGUUUGCGCCAACUUAAACAUUUUGCAAUAACUUUUGCUAUAUUGAAUAUAGCAACUUGAUAUUUGGCAUGCAUGAGUAUCUCAUGGAGCUGCACAUUUUGAGUGGUGAAAGGUCAGAGGUCAAAUAUAUGUGGCCUAAAUUGCUCAUUUUAUGAAUACUUUUGCAAUAUUGAAGAUAGCAACUCGAUAUUUGGCAUGCAUGUGUAUCUCAUGGAGCUGCACAUUUUGAGUGGUGAAAGGUCAAAGUCAAGGUCAUCCUUCAAGGUCAGAGGUAAAACAUAUUUGUCCCAAAUCGCUUAUUUUAUUAAUACUUUUGAAAUAUUGAAGAUAGCAACUUGAUAUUUGGCAUGCAUGUGUAUCUCAUGGAGCUGCACAAUUUGAGUGGUGAAAGGUCAAGGUCAUCCUUCAAGGUCAAGGUCAUCCUUAAAGGUCAAAUAUAUGGGUCAAAAUUGCUCAUGUAAUGUCACUUCUGCAAUAUUGAAGCUAGCAAUUUUAUAUUUGAAAUGCAUGUGUAUCUCAUGGAGCUGCACAUUUUGAGUGGUGAAGGGUCAAGGUCAUCCUUCAAGGUCAAACAUUAUUUAGGGGGACAUUGUGUUUCACAAACGCAUCUUGUUUCAAAUUAUCUUUAUUCAACAACAUUUUGUAUAACGAUAAAACAACUCACUCUUAGAGAUACGUCUAGUAGUGAUGCACUGCUUUCAACCAACAAACCAUCUGCCUCGUUCUCGAAACUCAAGUCUGGUGAACGGUUAUCUGACAUUUCCUCAGUUUCUGGUGUGGAAUUCGUCUCAUCUGCUUCAGGGCCAUUUUCCAGAGUCUGUAAGGUAAACAAAUAAAAUUAAAUCAGCACAUCAAAGACCUAGAAAUACACAUACUUUUUCAAACUAACAUGAAAGAAUGAUGUUCAGAUACGUAAUAUUUAUGCUUCUGUAUCAUGUUGUAAACACCGUCAGAUUCUAUACCGAUAGAGUAACUGACCCAUGUUCAUUCUUGAAACCUCGUAUAGCCUAGUGGCAACAUAUCCGCUUCAAAAUAUCAGAUACCAUUGGUUCGAUCCUCGGCUGUGAGCUACAUAAAAUAAAUCAUGAACUGUGCCAUGGGUAUGUCUGCCAUUAUCCCAUGCUUGAUUGUACCACAAGGAAUCACUGAUUUGAAUAGUAAGCUCGAUUUAAUAAUCCAUCGGAAUCGUUUUAAGGUGAUAAUCUGAUUACACGCAGUGCGCAAUCUGAUUAUGUGAUGACUUAAAUUAGUAUAAGUAUUAA